rnacentral:lncRNA from 1 species
CUAUCACUUAAACUUUUAGAAUAAUAAAAAUAUCACAGGUCUUACACAUCACAGUACGCCAGUCUAAAAUAUGUGUCUUUAAACCUUUUAUAAAACGAAGAAGCGAUUGUUCUUUCCGUAAAUGAAUUGGUAGGUCAUUCCACAAUGUAGCUCCAGCUCGGUCGAAUCGUCUUUCACCGUAUGUUUUAGUGCGGACAUCUCUUGGUUUCGUUAUGAGUCCUUCAUUUUCUGACCGAAGUGUUCUAAAAGGAGCGUAUAGUACAAUCAGUUCUUCCAAAUA